rnacentral:lncRNA from 1 species
GACUUUUAAUGUUAUCUUCUGUUGGAAAUACCCUUCCUGUGAAGUUCCCCUGCUUGCCAGUGAGAUUUGGAGAACUGACUGUGGCUUAUGUGUGCUUUAAUCUUCAGUGCCUUGCAUAGUGAUGUUUUUUGGCUCCCACGUGAAUCAUUCAAGAGUUAAACAAGAGAAAUGGUUCCUGUCAGUGCAGGUGAUGAAAGAGAUCAUUACAACAUAACUGAAGGUCAAGACAAGGAUAAAUACCAGCAAAAUCAUGUAAGAAUGA